GGUUAACGCUGGCGGCGUGCCUAACACAUGCAAGUCGAACGGUUCUAAGCGCGAGCUUAGGAUAGUGGCGAACGGGUGAGUAAAAGGUAGGAAUCUACCCCUUGGACGGAGAUAGCUACUGGAAACGGUAGGUAAACUUCGAUAAGCCCGAGAGGGGAAAGUGGUGAGACAGCCGAGGGAUGAGCCUACUCUCCAUCAGGUAGUUGGUGAGAUAAAAGCUUACCAAGCCGAUGACGGAUAACCGGUGUGAGAGCAUGAACGGUCACAAGGGCACUGAGAUACGGGCCCUACUCCUACGGGAGGCAGCAGUGGGGAAUCUUGGACAAUGGGCGCAAGCCUGAUCCAGCGACGCCGCGUGAAGGAAGAAGUCCUUCGGGAUGUAAACUUCUGAACUAGCCGAAUAAGAGGCCUGUGGACACACAGGAGAAGAAAGUAGGCUAGGAAAAGUCCCGGCUAACUACGUG
rnacentral:rRNA from 1 species